CCUACGGGAGGCUGCAGUGAGGAAUAUUGGUCAAUGGACGAGAGUCUGAACCAGCCAAGUAGCGUGAAGGAUGACUGCCCUAUGGGUUGUAAACUUCUUUUAUAUGGGAAUAAAAUGUUCCACGUGUGGGAUUUUGUAUGUACCAUAUGAAUAAGGAUCGGCUAACUCCGUGCCAGCAGCCGCGGUAAUACGGAGGAUCCGAGCGUUAUCCGGAUUUAUUGGGUUUAAAGGGAGCGUAGGUGGUUUGUUAAGUCAGUUGUGAAAGUUUGCGGCUCAACCGUAAAAUUGCAGUUGAAACUGGCAGUCUUGAGUACAGUAGAGGUGGGCGGAAUUCGUGGUGUAGCGGUGAAAUGCUUAGAUAGCACGAAGAACUCCGAUUGCGAAGGCAGUUCACUGGACUGCAACUGACACUGAGGCUCGAAAGUGUGGGUAUCAAACAGGAUUAGAUACCCGUGUAGUC
rnacentral:rRNA from 1 species